rnacentral:rRNA from 1 species
AUUUAACAAUCUGGCUGGUUUACUAGUCCGAAUUGUAGUUUAUAGAAGCGUUUUCGGUGGCAGCCUGGGUAUAAAUCCUUUGGAAUAGGGUAUCAUAGAGGGUGAGAAUCCCGUCUUUGACUCAGUGCAUGCUACUAUGUGAUACGUUUUCAAAGAGUCGAGUUGUUUGGGAAUGCAGCUCAAAAUGGGUGGUAAAUUUCAUCUAAAGCUAAAUAUUGGCGAGAGACCGAUAGCGAACAAGUACCGUGAGGGAAAGAUGAAAAGAACUUUGAAAAGAGAGUUAAACAGUGCGUGAAAUUGUUGAAAGGGAAACGCUUGACACCAGUCAUGCGGGUGGAAAAUCAGUCUUUUGCAGUGGGGAGUUGUGGGCGUUCAGACCGCAAGGCUGGCGUUUGCUUGAUCUCUGCUGUAAGUGAUGCACUUUUUCAUUUGCAGGUCAACAUCAGUUUGCUUUGCUGGACAAAACCCCAAGGGAAGGUGGCAGCUUAGGCUGUGUUAUAGCCCUGGGGCGAUACAGUGGAGUGGACUGAGGUUUUCGCAGUGUGUGCUCUCUGGGCAAGGCUGACUGGGUGCUAUGGGAUCGUUCGGCGUACAAUGCAUGCAUUUUGCGUCGUGUCCUUUCUAUACU